GUUCCGCUCGUCAAUGGGUGACCGGAUGCUGCCUCCGUUUAAAAUGCACAUGGACACGUGGUUCCAGGACAUCUCAUCCGGGUGUCUCAGGUUGUUGUUAAUCUGCAACAGCAGCAUGAAUUUACACUCGUUAUUCUGGGUCCUCCUCCUUAGGGUCAGUGCCCGGAACUUGGUUAGCUGCACCGAGCAAAUAAAGCUGCUGUUGCCCUGCUCCUGUGUGUGCCCAGAGCUUUCUCAAGUGUAAUUCAUCAGAACUAGUCUUAUGCCCUGAGAAGCAAACCUCAGAUACUGUGACCAGUCCCAGGUCAGACUCUUGAGUAGCCAGUAGCUCUGAGCCCCUCUCCUAAGACGCCUGCAACCCGCCAGGCCAGGGGCCCUUAGCAAAGCCAGCACUUGAAGUAGGAGAAAGGGGCUUCUGUGCAGACUGACCCACAGGGCUGCUCCCCCCGGGGCUCCUCCAGGGCAGGACCCACAUUUGCUCCUAAGGGUGGAGCCCACAAGCCUUUCAACUCCAGACCUCAGGCCACAAAGGACCCUGGCAUCCAUGUCUAGGUCCCCAGCCAGUUCCCAAGUUGGCAAUUUUGGAUACAAGAGAGAGACGGGGGAGCCCCUGAAACGGGGGAGAGUCAGUUUCAUUCUUCCUUUUCUUUUACAAAACAUAUGUUUAGUUACAAGAAAUAAAACGAAUUACAUUCUCAUUUGAAAAAAUAUGAUGGUGGAAGAGGUGAGGGAGACACAGGGCCACAGGGCGGCUAUGAGGGCAGCACAGCUGCAGUGUUCCUGAUGCUUAGCGGGAGAAGGGGCUCAUUCUCUCUUUGUUAGGUAAGCCCUGCUAGAGCCUGGGGUGUUUCCUUCCAGACCUGCCUCUGCACAUUCACAGCUCUGGCUUCUCGUUAGCUGCUUGUCUCGCACUGACCGUGUGAUGCUGAGCCUCCAGCACUUGUCCCACCUUGGAAAGCGUGAGUGUCGUCAUUUACUUGGCAGACACUUAUUGAGUGUGGCUGCAUCCCAGGUACCGGGCACCCGGCACCGAGCUGAGCCCAGACAAAGGAACGGCCUCCUGGGUGCCCCUGGGCGUGGUGAGUCUCAGCUGGAGACCUCGGCUGGGCACGGCCCUCCCGGGGGGGCUGCCCGCAGACAGGUGGACAGAGGGGUGUUUUUGGUGUGGGAACUUGCUCUGGGACUUAUUCUUGUGAUAACGGCCUUGCUUGUGAAGGUGGUUCACACAAGGCCGAGUUCUCUGGGGUCAAGAGGACAGAUCAGUGAAACACACUCUGGCCUAGUUAGGCCCAGGCAGAUGCAUUUAAUUCUAUGUCUACUUCUUGGGAGGAGCAGAGUUUGUGGAUUCAGGUCAUCUUACCAAAGGAAAGCAACAUCCAAUAUUCGGACACCUAAGAUGAGCACCUUGAAAUAAAGGCUUCUGUCCUUUUUUUUUUGGCGGCACUGCGCAGCAUGCAGAACUCACCUGAAGAGGGAUCGAACCUGCACCCCCUGCAGCGGAAGCAUGGAAUCUUAACCACUGGACUGCCAGGGAAGACCAAGGCUGCCGUUCUUGUAAAGCAAUAAAGGGAUGGCCCACUGGUCUGGUUCGGGCACCUUCCCAAGAAGAAAACAAACAAAUCAGCCUGCAGUUAAAGCCUAAAUGUUGGAGAAAGGCUCAAACGUCAUUCAGCUCACCUGGCAUCAAAAAGUAAGAAAGACACACACACAUUUGAUGACCUGAAGCCCAGGGAGACUGGGCCGCUUGCCCAGGUACACUGCUCCCUUUGCCCCAACAAUCAGCUCUCCUCUGGACAUGGGCCGAGAGUGGCUCUCCUGUGCCAGGUGAAGCUGGAAGAGACGCGAGAGGCAGCGACAGUGUCUGAUGCUGAGAGGGCUUGGAGAAGCACAUGGGACUUUUGCAAUUCGUGUGUGUUUUAAAUCUCCUUAUCCACGAAGAGGGUAGAGUAAACUCAAGGGAGAAAGAAGCUCGGGUCUUCAAAAACAUUGUCCUGAAACAUUAACCAAAAAAUAAAAAGGAAAAAAAAAAAGAAAAAAAAAAUCCAGCCACCAAAUCUUUGUAUUGGUGGAUCACUGCCCUGAAUUUCACGUACCUUCCAGAAUGCUGCUGUUGAGAAGGAUGGGAUUUCCAUGUGAAGUGACGACGUUUCCUUUUUCAUCAAACUCGACCUUCAGAUAGCCUAGGUAUUUACCAAAAGCAUAGGCCUGGACCACGGGAACCUGCCGUCCGUCAUCGGACGUGACUAUGAAUGGGUACUGCCCCGCCGGCACCUCUUUGGAAGGUGGAGUGCCUGCAAUGAAAGAUCCAAAGUUAAUCAAGUGGGCCCUUGUUCACGGACGGCCGGGAGCCUGCAGGCUGCCGGCGAGGUGACUGCGAAUUCUGAACUGACGAUUUGCCAGCUGCUGCUCUACACAGCUGGUCUUUCAGAGCCCAGCUCGGGCAUCUGCCCCUGUUUCCGAAUGCCCUUUUGGCAUGUGAAUCUUUCCAUUCUCAACUCAGCAGCGGUUGCUAAGCUCUUGCUAAGUCCUGGGCACCGUGCCCGGUGCUACGUGGCAUACAAAGAUGCGACACUGCUAAGACAGUCCCGCCUCCAUCCUGACCCUGGCUUCAGUCUCACCAGCUGGGGGAAGCAGCCAAGCCACUUCACCUCACCGUGCUUCAGUUUCCCCAUCUGUAAAAUGGGCAUAAUAACGGGUUAUUGCUGCCAUCCCGGGCUUGGCAGUGCCAAUUUCAAAGCCCUCGGGCGGCGGACUCUUGUGUCUCCUGAGUCCUCCCUGGUGGCGGAGUCCUUCUGUGUGUGGGGAACAUGUCGGAGUCCCCGGUUUGGUGCUCCGGUGCUGUCGGGCCUCUGUGAUGUGCAGAGGGGUGCUCCGGGCGAGAGUGGGGUGGGGGGAUGGCGGGUGCACAGGCAGGCUGUGAACAGUGCCGACUCCUGAGGUCCAGUAUCUCACAGUGACCUCUAGAAAGGGUCCGUUCUUCACUGGGCCCAGAAAACCCCAUACAAUCAUGCAAAUCAAGCGGUUCAAACCUUCGUGUUCACUUUAAGGACACUCAUGAAACUGCCCAGGCCAAAGCCACCAAGUAUCUGAAGGAUGUCACUUUACAGAAGCAAUGUGUGCCAUUCCAUCAUUCCAACGGUGGAGUUGGUAGGUGCGCCCAGGCCACAGUGGGGCCGGACGCAGGGUCGGUGGCCUCCAAAAGGUGCUGAAUUGUUACUGCACACGCUCAAAGAUGCAGAGAGUAAUGCUGAGCUUAAGGGCUUAGAUGUAGAUUCUCUGGUCAUGGAGCAUGUUCAAGUGAACAGAGCCCCCAAGAUGCAAUGCAGGAUUUACAGAGCUUGUGGUCGGAUCAACACAAGCUCUCCCUGCCACAUUGAGAUGAUCCUUCGUGAAAAAGAACAGACUGUUACUAACCCAGAAGAGGAGGUUGCACAGAACAAAAAGAUACCCCAGAAAAAACUGAAGAAACAAAAACUUAUUACCCGGGAAUAAAUGUUCCAAAAAAAAAAAAAAAAGCAAAUAAAAGUAAAAGGAAAAAAAGGCAAAAUAACAAUUCCUAUCUCACAGGAAUCUUGAGAGGAUUAAACAUUUAAACUCUCUUGCUGGGACUUCCCUCGUGGUCCAGUGGCUAAGACUCCGUGCUCCCAAUGCAGAGGGCCCGGGUUUGAUCCCUGGUCAAGGAACUAGAUCCCACGUGCCACAACUAAGUGUUCGCAUGUCACAACUGAAGAUCCUGUAUGCCGCAACUAAGACCCGGCAUAGCCAAAUUAAAACAAAACAAAACUCUCUUGCCGACUGCCUGGCGCAUAAUACUCAAUAAAUGUGUAUUUCUUUCCCCCAUGAGGGAAUGGCAACCUCUAGAAACCCUAGACACACACUCCAGAGCUUAGACUCUUUAGUGGAAGAUCAGCAGAAAUGACAAGAAAUUAACACAACAUUGUAAAUCAACUAUACUCAAUAAA